AUUAACAUAUACAAUUCAAUCAAAAAAAAUCAUAUACAAACCAUUUUUUUCUUAAAAAAUCUAUAUUGUUAGAAGAGUGUUCAAAGAUUUACUUAUUCAAAUAGAAUAGAUCAUGAAGAAAUGCUAAUGCCAAUUAUAUUUAGAAAAAACUUACCAAUUAAUUGGCAAUACAUUAAUCAUAGCUGCAGCCUGCAGUACAGAGUUAUUGAUAUUUAUCCGAGGCUACAGCUGUAGCCUACACAAUCUUAAUACACACAUAGGAGAAGAGAACUUGAAGGGGAGAAAUUCUGAACCAUAGUUGUAGCUGGAUAUAAAGAUAAAAAAUAACAUAUAUGAUAUAGACUUAGGACCUGUUCUACAACCAGCACUCAACAAUUUACAGGUAACACAAACACGCACAAGACUUCGCUGAAUAAUUUGAAGCACUGGAGAUAACAUACGAAGCAACAAAAUGAUGUCUUUUGGUUACUUGGUGUACUUGGCUGUACUAUUUAUUAGGGUUGAUUUCUGUGCUACUAAUGACUACUGCCUUCUCCACCCAUCCAAUGGUGUACAGGACGUCCUCCUCCUUGAUGCGGCUGUCCCCAACGAGCUCUCUUUGCCGGAGGAGGUGGAGCAGCAUGUCCAGCACCCCCUUGGCCUCCUAUCCUGCAGCACAUGGACGAGCUCACUGACGGCUGCGUUCUGCCCUCCUAGUGUGAUAUUGGUUAUGGGAGCAUUUUCAACAAGAAAGACAUGCGUUUUGACAACUUUGGCAUGGAUGGGUGGAUUUGCUGCUUGGAUGACCCCUAGUUGGUGUGUGGCUGCCUGAUAAGAGUGGCCAUCGCUUUGUGGGCGUGGUGCUGGUUGUAGAGUAGGAUAGUGUUCUUCGGCACAUGCUUGUAAAAUUAAUGUUUUUUGGGUCUUUUUUUCCGCUCCUGUAGAGGUGUAUUUUUGGAUAUGUUGUAAUUUUGUUUUUCUAAUGACAUGAGCAUAUACUUUCUGUCAAAUUCUUAUUGGUGUAAAUUUUCCAUGGAAAAUGAGAGAUGCGUGAAUCUCUUGGACUGAAA